rnacentral:rRNA from 1 species
GAUGAACGCUGGCGGCGUGCCUAAUACAUGCAAGUCGAGCGAACGGACGAGAAGCUUGCUUCUCUGAUGUUAGCGGCGGACGGGUGAGUAACACGUGGAUAACCUACCUAUAAGACUGGGAUAGCUUCGGGAAACCGGAGCUAAUACCGGAUAAUAUUUUGAACCGCAUGGUUCAAAAGUGAAAGACGGUCUUGCUGUCACUUAUAGAUGGAUCCGCGCUGCAUUAGCUAGUUGGUAAGGUAACGGCUUACCAAGGCAACGAUGCAUAGCCGACCUGAGAGGGUGAUCGGCCACACUGGAACUGAGACACGGUCCAGACUCCUACGGGAGGCAGCAGUAGGGAAUCUUCCGCAAUGGGCGAAAGCCUGACGGAGCAACGCCGCGUGAGUGAUGAAGGUCUUCGGAUCGUAAAACUCUGUUAUUAGGGAAGAACAUAUGUGUAAGUAACUGUGCACAUCUUGACGGUACCCAAUCAGAAAGCCACGGCUAACUACGUG